GUGGGGAAUCUUGCACAAUGGGGGCAACCCUGAUGCAGCGACGCCGCGUGAGCGAUGAAGCCCUUCGGGGCGUAAAGCUCUUUCGACCGGAACGAUAAUGACGGUACCGGGAGAAGAAGCUGCGGCUAACUACGUGCCAGCAGCCGCGGUAAUACGUAGGCAGCAAGCGUUGUUCGGAGUUACUGGGCGUAAAGAGUGCGUAGGCGGUUUUCUAAGUUCGGUGUGAAAUCUCCCGGCUUAGCUGGGAGGGUGCGCCGAAGACUGGGAAGCUGGAGUGUGGGAAAGGCAGGCGGAAUUCCUGGUGUAGCGGUGAAAUGCGUAGAUAUCAGGAGGAACACCGGCGGUGUAGACGGCUUGCUAGACCAUAACUGACGCUGAGGCACGAAAGCGUGGGUAGCAAACA
rnacentral:rRNA from 1 species